rnacentral:rRNA from 1 species
CUGAGAGUUUGAUCCUGGCUCAGAACGAACGCUGGCGGCAUGCCUAACACAUGCAAGUCGAACGAACUCUUCGGAGUUAGUGGCGGACGGGUGAGUAACGCGUAGGAAUCUACCUUUCGGCGGGGGAUAGCCCGGAGAAAUCCGGAUUAAUACCGCAUAAGCCCUACGGGGGAAAGCGGGGGACCACUUGUGGCCUCGCACCGAUAGAUGAGCCUGCGUUAGAUUAGCUAGUUGGUAGGGUAAAGGCCUACCAAGGCGACGAUCUAUAGCUGGUCUGAG